UACGUAGGGUGCGAGCGUUAAUCGGAAUUACUGGGCGUAAAGCGAGUGUAGGCGGUGUGGUAAGUCGGAUGUGAAAGCCCCGGGCUCAACCCGGGAAGUGCACUCGAUACUGCCACGCUAGAGUAUCGGAGAGGUUGGUGGAAUUCUCGGUGUAGAGGUGAAAUUCGUAGAUAUCGAGAGGAACACCGGUGGCGAAGGCGGCCAACUGGACGAAUACUGACGCUGAGACUCGAAAGCGUGGGGAGCAAACAGG
rnacentral:rRNA from 1 species